GACGGCGAUUGCAGGGAGGGUGGGACGUUCGCUUUCAGUGCUAUCAGGCUAAAGUUAGCAUUUUCCCAGAUCUCCUAUUGUACCUUUAACCAAUCAAAAACGGAUGC